rnacentral:ribozyme from 1 species
UGCCCAGCAACUCCUAUCCUUACCUCCUCGUGAUACUGGCCGGGGUACGAGUAACCUUGGGGCAGAUCGGGUAACCAACCCCCGGUGGGAACUUUGGUCGUAUGCUGACAAGGAAGG